CGCGAACUUCACCUGAGGCUGCGUUGUGAGCUGCGCAGGCGCUGUUACCUAUCUCUCACCAUCCCGCGCUCAGUGAGCCUACAGGAUGUGACUUUCUGAGUGAGCAGCUGCAUAAUGCUGUGGUACGAUAUGAAAUGAAAUUGGCCAUCACUUAAUGAGGUGUCGCUUAAGAAUUUAGUUUCGUUCAAUCCUUACAGCCUCCCUAUACGAUAGUUAGACUUUUCACAAUAAUGGGAGAUGCUGGAAAAAUGAAGGCUCAAAAGGAAAAUCCAGGGAUCAAAAGAAUCAGCCAUCAGUCAAUCCCAGAAGCCAGACAAAGUCAACUCCCAAGAUGGGACUGCCAAGGAGCCCAGCUAGUACCAGCCACAGGACUAGGUGAAGAAGUCUAAACAGCUUUGAGGAUGCUGCCAACGUGGGCUUAAAGGGAGCUAAGGAAGAUGUUAUUGGAAACAGGAGAAAGGGUAGCCUUGUUAUGUGGUGCCAGAAAGUUUGCCUCAGGCAUUGGGGAAUAGACACAAACCAUCUCCACUGUUCC